rnacentral:rRNA from 1 species
GUUUAGCCCUAAAUUUAGAUAAUUAACCAAACAAAUUUAUCCGCCAGAGAACUAUUAGCAACAGCUUAAAACUCAAAGGACUUGGCGGUGCUUUAUAUCCCCCUAGAGGAGCCUGUUCUAUAAUCAAUAAACCUCAAUACUUCUU